CCUACGGGUGGCAGCAGUGAGGAAUAUUGGUCAAUGGACGAGAGUCUGAACCAGCCAAGUAGCGUGAAGGAUGACUGCCCUAUGGGUUGUAAACUUCUUUUAUAAAGGAAUAAAACGAGGCACGUGUGCCUUUUUGCAUGUACUUUAUGAAUAAGGAUCGGCUAACUCCGUGCCAGCAGCCGCGGUAAUACGGAGGAUCCGAGCGUUAUCCGGAUUUAUUGGGUUUAAAGGGAGCGUAGAUGGGUUGUUAAGUCAGUUGUGAAAGUUUGCGGCUCAACCGUAAAAUUGCAAUUGAUACUGGCAGUCGUGAGUACAGUUGAGGUAGGCGGAAUUCGUGGUGUAGCGGUGAAAUGCUUAGAUAUCACGAAGAACCCCGAUUGCGAAGGCAGCUUACUAAGCUGUGACUGACAUUGAUGCUCGAAAGUGUGGGUAUCAAACAGGAUUAGAUACCCGGGUAGUC
rnacentral:rRNA from 1 species